CACGUAGGAGACGAGCGUUGUCCGGAUUCAUUGGGCGUAAAGCGCGCGUAGGCGGCCCUGUAAGUCCGCUGUGAAAGUCAAAGGCUCAACCUUUGAAAGCCGGUGGAUACUGCAGGGCUAGAGUCCGGAAGAGGCGAGUGGAAUUCCUGGUGUAGCGGUGAAAUGCGCAGAUAUCAGGAGGAACACCAAUUGCGAAGGCAGCUCGCUGGGACGUUACUGACGCUGAGACGCGAAAGCGUGGGGAGCAAACAGG
rnacentral:rRNA from 1 species